rnacentral:rRNA from 1 species
GAUGAACGCUGGCGGCGUGCUUAACACAUGCAAGUCGAACGGACAGGCCCGGCUCUUGUUGGGUGCUCGAGUGGCGAACAGGUGAGUAACACGUGAGUAACCUGUCCUUGUAUUUGGGGUAACUUUAGGAAAAUGGGGCUAAUACCGGAUAUGAUCUACUGAUGCAUGGGGGGGAUUAGAAAGUUUCGGCGGUUGGGGAUGGACUCGAGGGUUAUGAGCUUGUUGGGGGGGUAGUGGCUUACCAGGGCUUUGACGGGUAGCCGGCCUGAGAGGUUGGACGGCGACCUUGGGACUAAGAUACGCACCAGUAUGCAACGGGCGGCAGUAGGCGGGAACAUUGCAGAACGAGCGGAAGCCUGAUGCAGCAACGCCGCGUGCGUGAUGCCGUCCUUCGGGUUAUAAACAGCUUUCGCAUGUACCAAACCGUGCGUGACGGUAAUGGGUAAAGAAGCCACGGCUAACUACGUG